GAGGAAAAGAAACUAACUAGGAUUCCCUUAGUAACGGCGAGUGAACCGGGAUGAGCUCAAAUUUGAAAUCUGGCGUCUUUCAGGCGUCCGAGUUGUAAUCUAUAGAGGCGUUUUCCGCGCCGGACCGCGUCCAAGUCUCUUGGAAUAGAGUAUCAAAGAGGGUGACAAUCCCGUACUUGACGCGACAACCGGUGCUCUGUGAUACGUUCUCAACGAGUCGAGUUGUUUGGGAAUGCAGCUCUAAAUGGGUGGUAAAUUCCAUCUAAGGCUAAAUAUUGGCGAGAGACCGAUAGCGAACAAGUACCGUGAGGGAAAGAUGAAAAGCACUUUGGAAAGAGAGUUAAACAGCACGUGAAAUUGUUAAAAGGGAAACGAUUGAAGUCAGUCGUGUGAAAGGUAUUCAGCCGUCUCUGGCGGUGUAUUUGCCUUUCACGGGUCAACAUCAGUUUAGUCCGGUAGAAAAAGGCUGGAGGAAGGUGGCAUCUUCGGGUGUGUUAUAGCCUCCUGUCAUAUGUGCCGGAUUAGACUGAGGAACGCAGCUUGCAGCAAUGCCGGGGUUCGCCCACGUACAAGCUUAGGAUGUUGACAUAAUGGCUUUAAACGACCCGUCUU
rnacentral:rRNA from 1 species